GGGCACAUGGUGUAGAUGGUUAUUACGCUCGCUUUGCAUUCUUAUUCUGCGAGUGGUCUCCGGUUCGAUUCCGGAUGUGUCCA